CUUGACUCAAUCCUUCUUGGCCAGAAGGGAGAACACAGACAUCUGUUGGGUGGUGGCCAGCUAAGCUUCUGCAUUGGAUCUUUUGCCCAUUGAAAGAAACGGAUUGCCUCGUUGCGUCUGAGAGAGCAAGAUGGUCACCGGCAGCUUUACUGGAGCCGAAGAAGCUGGGCCAGGGUUCUCGUUCUUGCUGUGUCUGCUCAGACUGGCACAGUCUGCUCCAAAAAUACGGCUCAGUAUGUGCCCGCCAGUGUCUCCGUCACUAUGAAGUGAAGGAUACAGGCUUCACUAAGUUGGAUUAAGUGAGCUUCCUUGAAUGGAUUAUCCAAGAUAACUACCUUAAUGCUCACUCAUUGUACAUGUAUAAAAAUACUUCAAU